rnacentral:lncRNA from 1 species
CUAUCACAUUUUUUGGUGUGUGUGUGAGACAGGGUCUCACUCUGUCUCCCAGACUGGAGUGAAGUGGUGUGAUCUCGGCUCACUGCAAACUCCGCCUCCCAGGUUCAAGCGAUGCUCAUACCUCAGCCUCCUGAGUAGCUGGGAUUACAGGCACAUGCCACCACACCUGGCUAUUUUUUUAUUUUUAGUAGAGAUGGGGUUUCACCAUGUUGGCCAGGCCGGUCUCGAACUCCUGGCCUUAAGCCACUCACCUGCUCAGCCUCCCAAAGUGCUGGGAUUACAGACAUGGUGGCUCAUGCCUGUAAUCCCAGCACUCUGGGAGGCCAAGGCAGGUGGAUCACCUGAGGUCAGGAGUUUGAGACCAGCCUGGCUAACAUGGUGAAAUCCCGUCUCUACUGAAAAUACAAAAAUUAGUCAGGUGCAGUGGUGGGCACCUGUAAUCCCAGCUACUUGGAAGGCUGAGGCAGGAGAAUUGCUUGAACCCAGGAGACAGAGGUUGCAGUGAGCCAAGAUUGUGCCACUGCACUCCAGCGUGGGCAACGGAGAGACUCUGUCAUAAAAAAAAAGAAAAGAAAAAGAAAGAACCAGGUGACAUUGUGCAAGUUACACCAUACAUCACAACGUCAGUUUUCCUAUCUGCAAAAGGGGUUUAUUAGUAGGGACGGCAUAGAGAUUAAAUGAGGUAAUGCAUGUAAAGUGCUUAGCUGGGGGCUGGACAUAAUAAACGUUAGCUGCACCAGCCGUUAUUAAACCCUGAGCAUGCUCACCUCAGACAAGGGGUGCAUCAGGGACCUGGCUGGAGGAUCAAGCACAGGGAUCUCCAUGGCAUGGGUCCAGAGUCACAGCUCUGCAUGUAGCUUAGUGAAGCCAAAGGCCCCACAAGUUGUUCCUCAUCCUCUGACAUAAGUUCUAUUAAACCUCAGCAGCUCAUUCUUCUUGGUGGUAGUGAGUUCUCUUAGUGAUCAAAGCACAAAGGUGUCUGGCUAGCACUGUUCCCUCCUUUUGGGCAGGCUAGUUGGGUGGGCAGGGAGUGCAGGGGCCAUGGGACCAGCAGGGCCCCCAGUGACUGCCAAGGUCCAAGGCACCUCCUGCUGGCUCAUUCAGCCCCCUCCUGUUCUGGUCCUUCCCCUUCCCCAGCCCACAGCCCCAUCUUGUCCUCCUCCACCCUCCUUGCUCUCUUGCUGGGAGCAGGGACAGCAAUGCUAGUCUCCCCUUUGACGCUUUUCCUGAACAUUGGCUGAGCAUCAGUUUCCUACACUGGCAGAAGCGAGACACACAGUAGGCUUUCAAGGACAGAGAGGAGGAGGACUGAAUGCUUAGAAGACAGCAAAGUACAUCACAGGCUGUUGGGUUGGAAAGCACCUGCAGGAUCACCUAGUUUAAUCCUUAGACUUGGUGGUUUUCUAACUGUACUGAGCAUAGAAUUAUUUGCGGUAGAUUGUUUAAAUGCAGAUUCCCGGGCCCUACGUACUGAAAUACAGUCUCUUGGGUGGAUUCCCAGGAAUUUCAUUUGUAACCAGCUCCAGCAGGUGAUAGCCCAUGCAGGUGGUCUGGGUGGACAUUUUGAGGAACACUGCCCUUAUUCCUGACUCCUCUCCAUAUUUCUACUACAUUCCUGCCACAUAGCCAUGAGAAAACUCACAGAAAAGAGUUCACAGAACGCCUCUGCUCUCAACUCAUUCACAGUCUAGCUGGAGACAGAGGACAGCCACAGGAGCAGUUAGUGCUCAGGUCUUGACCGAGGGCCUGCCAUGGGAGUUCAGAGGCAGGCUGGCCCAACUCAAGGCUCCGGGAGGAGACAAGGUUUGAGCAGGGCCAGGACAACCGGAUAUGGUUUUCUUCCCUAGUCAGCUAAGAUCUGUUCUUAGUGGAGGUGCUCAAUUAGCCAAGCUCAUGAAUUCUGCAUGUCUGACUGACUUUCAUCCACCUCCCUCUCCUCCCUUCAGAUGGAGCCCUCUGCUCUCUGGGAUGUAAUUACGAUAUCUGGCCUGUUUUAAUGAAGGCAAAAAUAUUCAGUAUUUGUAUGCGACUUCUCCCAUGUUGGAGAGGGUGGGAGGGGGCAGGGCAGGGAGGCGGAGCCUUGGGAGAAUGAGAGACUAAUAACCGCACCUUUGCACUACCAUCUAGCAUCUCAGUUCACAAAGUCCAUUCGCAAGUAUUUUCUCAUGGAAUCUAUGGCCCUACCACGGUGGCCAAGUGUUUUAGAACCAUUUGUGCCAGCAAGGUGUGUCUGCAUGGUGUUUUAAAUGAUGUUGACAUUAUGUCAGCUCAAGUAAAUCAAUAUUUCCAUGUCAACCAACUCAUUUAGCUGAGAGUUCACAUACCAGGAUAUCAGUUAACUUACAUCAAAAAUGUUUCAUUAGGAAGUCAGUUUUUAUUUCUCUUAUUGUUCAUGGUGAUGUUCACUGACCUAUUCCUAGCAUGUUACACUAACCUUGAACUGUUGAUUGGAAUAAGCACAAUUGUUUUACAAACCACUAGAAAAAUAAAGAGUUUUAUUAGUUACUAUACAACCAUUGGUUGUAAACUAUGUGCCAAUUUCAAAGAUACUAAAAUUUGAAAAAUAAUGCAUGUUUAAAUCUGUAAAAUGGGCCAGGCACACUGGCUCAUGCCUGUAAUCCCAGCACUUUGGGAGGCCGAGGCAAGCAGAUCACUUCAGGUCAGGAGUUCAAGACCAGAAUGGCCAACAUGGAGAAUCCCCGCCUCUGCUAAAAAUACAAAAAUUAGCCAGGUGUGGUAGCAGUGCCUGUAAUCCCAGCUACUCGGGAGGCUGAGGCAGGAGAAUCACUUGAACCUGGGAGGUGGAGGUUGCAGUAAGCCAAGAUCACACCACUGUACUCCAGGCUGGGCGACAGAGCAAGACUCUAUCUAAAAAAGAAUAAAUAAAUAAAAAUAAAUAAAUAAAUCAGGAAAAUGGUCUAGGUGACAAUGGACACAACAAUAAACAUUAGUCCACCUGACUUUGGCACAUGAAUUUUUUUUUUUUGAGACGGAGUCUCUGUCGCCCAGGCUGGAGUGCAGUGGCGCGAUCUCGGC